UACGUAGGGUGCAAGCGUUGUCCGGAAUUAUUGGGCGUAAAGGGCUCGUAGGCGGUCCAUCGCGUCGGGAGUGAAAAGCUGGGGCUUAACCCCAGUCCUGCUUCCGAUACGGGUGGACUAGAGGUAGGUAGGGGAGAUCGGAAUUCCUGGUGUAGCGGUGAAAUGCGUGAGAUAUCAGGAGGAACACCGAUGGCGAAGGCAGGUCUCUGGGCUGACACUGACGCUCAUGCACGAAAGCGUGGGGAGCAAACAGG
rnacentral:rRNA from 1 species